GGAAAAAAGAAUCAUUCUUUGAAUGCUUGUUAGCUCCUCUCCUCUUUGACCGGAUGCGUUUUCAUGUCUCUUCUGGGUUGAGACACGGCAUCCGUAUUCCGUGGAGGCAAAAACGUGCGGAAGUCAAAUGAAACGCUGGGGCGGCGUUCAUGCAUGAUGCAACGAGAUAUCCCGUACUUUCCGACGGCUUCCAGUUGUUCGAUGCAGUGCUGUUACCACUGAAACGGUUGCAUUCCUGUCCAUCAGCUUACUGACAUAAAUAUCGCAGGCGUUUACAGGGAUUCAAUCUGAGGGACGGAUGCAACAGAAGACGUGGGUGUGCUAAUGCCAUGAAUGUGGUGGCGUUUGUGUUUCACUGUUGAAGACGACCACAGAACCAUGACUCGAGUUUCUUGACCUUCCACUUCCUAUUCGGGGAAGAGAGACAGAUCUUCUAUAAGUUCUGUACAAAUCUUGUGCAAAGACUCUGCUCCCUAUACAUUCAAGGUGUUUCGUUGCGUCCAGCUUCUGGUGAUGGCAAAAGCAAGCCGCAGGCGUUGAGCAUGAAAGUCUGGAGUGUACUGCCGUCUUCUUGUUCCGUGAUGCCCAUGAACUGUGGCUUCAAGUGGAAAGGAACAGAGAUAAAAUUGACGUACGGUUAACUGCUGUCGAACACAGCCAGACACCUGCCAGGCGGAUUGGCGGCGUUUCUUAGUUUUGAGAACUGCACUGAGCACCGGUGUCGCUUCUACGUUUUUGCCUCGUUUGAGAGGAAAACGGCAAGCAACUAAAACUGUCAUGGUGAUAAAUGAUAACUGUGGUGUUUCCGUUAAAUGCUCGCUUCAUCCCUGUUCAAUAUCGCCAAACCGUUUUCUGAAGAAAGCGGGCACGCACUCAACUGCCGCACACCGCGACGAGAGGAAACAUCGAGAAAAAGUGCAGACAAAGUGUGUUAAACUGCGUCGAAUGACAUGUGUGAGUGAUUGGAUUCUCGAUGUGACAUGGAAGCAUGAAGAGCAAAGGAAAUCGAGAUGAAAAGAAAAAGCAUGCGUCUGCCGGGAAUCGAACCCGGGUCACCUCGAUGGCAACGAGGUAUUCUACCACUAGACCACAAACGCUUGAGAGAAAGGUAACUGUCAAAUUGCCCUCCAUCCCCACCCUGCUUUUUUUCCCCAGUGAAACAGACUAUCGGAAGGCUCUUUACGGAAAGCUGACCCCUUGUCGAGGUCUUGGUUAUGAAAAAGCCCUCCAUCUCCUGUAGCCUUGUUCAUCUUGAGUCACCUGUCUCGAGGGCUGUGAACCUGGAUGUAGACUUCGUGAAGUGCAUGCCCAGUCCGCUAUAUCGUUGGUAAACCUCGAGACGAUAACGACGGGGUCCGCAUAGAUUACACGGAGGUCUGACGAAGUGAAUCACCUUCACGCAAACCCUUCUUUGUUGACUGUUUUCUUCAACUCCAUGAUGUGGAGACUAUAGUAGGACUGACAAUUUUUUUUCCGUCCGUAGGACCACUCCGUGCCUUCACUUCGGGAAAGCACGAAUUAGCGAUAAAUGACAGUGACUGACGAAAGACAGUCAUGUCUCCCUAGAGCACUCAAGGAGGCUAGAAUCAGGUUUAGACGCUGAGAAAGGCGCAAUGGAGCUCCUCGCUUUUUUAAGGAGCCUGCAGGUGUCACAAUAUAUUGCUGGUUUGUUGGUAUGUGUGUCCUCAACGUGUCAAUGAAAUACAAAUAUCAUCAUCGAUGAAUGUUUUCUAACCGUCAUACCAACAUACAACAGAAGAUUAACUUGCACUGAGUUUAAACUUUACACUCGAC
rnacentral:tRNA from 1 species